rnacentral:lncRNA from 1 species
UCAAAUUUAAUCUGGUUUCCAAAUUUACAAUAUAUAUAUCCUGUUCACAGCAAUAUAUAUACUGUACUGUACAAAAGCAAAGCAUUGAUAAUACACACGUGUGCCUAGGACGGAAAACAAAUGGGCAGAUAACUUGACACGUAGUGCUCGGAAACAACCGUCUUUCGUCGUGCACAUGGACGCAUAAUUAUCACUUUGGUUUACAGAGUCUACUUGAAUACGUAAAUAUUUGCUGUAAAAAAAAAUAAAAACACACACGUGUAUAUAUACUGUACAAAAUACAAUGAGUAUUGGUAGAAAAGUGAACCUUUGAUGGGACAAAUCUACAACGUCCACCAACAAGAGUCCCCAUAGAAUUUAAACGGAAUAGUCAAUGAAAUAGACUCCUACGUACCAAUAAUACCCACACUAAAAAAAAAAUGUUAAAAAGACCUACAUACCUAGUCAUGUCCAUUAACAUUUACGUAUAACAUAUGCAAAAGUGAAGAAAUUAAUAGUUUUGAAUCUUAUCCGGUUGUG